UACGUAGGGGGCAAGCGUUGUCCGGAAUUAUUGGGCGUAAAGAGCGCGUAGGCGGUCCGGUAAGUCGGCUGUGAAAGUCAGGGGCUCAACCCUUGAAAGCCGGCCGAUACUGUCGGACUAGAGUCCGGAAGAGGCGAGUGGAAUUCCCGGUGUAGCGGUGAAAUGCGCAGAUAUCGUAAGGAAGACCAGUGGCGAAGGCGGGUCUCUGGACAGUUCCUGACGCUGAGGCGCGAAGGCCAGGGGAGCAAACGGG
rnacentral:rRNA from 1 species